AAAAAAUUAGUUAAAACUAUAACAUUAGCUUGUCAAGCUAAAAUUACUAAUAAUAGUAAUUUUUA
rnacentral:tRNA from 1 species